GGUUGUGUGGCCUACCACUCGUUCUGUGAGGUUGUGUGGCCUACCACUCGUUCUGUGAGGUUGUGUGGCCUACCACUCGUUCUGUGAGGUUGUGUGGCCUACCACUCGUUCUGUGAGGUUGUGUGGCCUACCACUCGUUCUGUGAGGUUGUGUGGCCUACCACUCGGAGGUCCCGUUCUGUGAGGUUGUGUGGCCUACCACUCGUUCUGUGAGGUUGUGUGGCCUACCACUCGUUCUGUGAGGUUGUGUGGCCUACCACUCGUUCUGUGAGGUUGUGUGGCCUACCACUCGGAGGUCCCGUUCUGUGAGGUUGUGUGGCCUACCACUCGGAGGUCCCGUUCUGUGAGGUUGUGUGGCCUACCACUCGGAGGUCCCGUUCUGUGAGGUUGUGUGGCCUACCACUCGGAGGUCCCGUUCUGAGAGGUUGUGUGGCCUACCACUCGGAGGUCCCGUUCUGUGAGGUUGUGUGGCCUACCACUCGGAGGUCCCGUUCUGUGAGGUUGUGUGGCCUACCACUCGGAGGUCCCGUUCUGUGAGGUUGUGUGGCCUACCACUCGGAGGUC